GUGGGGAAUUUUGCACAAUGGGGGAAACCCUGAUGCAGCGACGCCGCGUGGAGGAUGAAGGCCUUCGGGUUGUAAACUCCUUUUGUCGGGGACGAUGAUGACGGUACCUGAUGAAUAAGCCACGGCUAACUCUGUGCCAGCAGCCGCGGUAAGACAGAGGUGGCGAGCGUUGUUCGGAAUCACUGGGCUUAAAGGGCGCGUAGGUGGUAGUGCAAGUCCGUGGUGGAAUCCGGGAGCUUAACUCCCGAACUGCCAUGGAAACUGCGUUACUUGAGUCAGCGAGGGGAGGGUAGAAUUCCUGGUGUAGCGGUGAAAUGCGUAGAUAUCAGGAGGAAGGCCUGUGGCGAAGGCGGCCCUCUGGUGCUGGACUGACACUGAGGCGCGAAAGCGUGGGGAGCAAACAGGAUUAGAAACCCGAGUAGUCC
rnacentral:rRNA from 1 species